rnacentral:rRNA from 1 species
UACGUAGGGUGCGAGCGUUGUCCGGAAUUAUUGGGCGUAAAGAGCUCGUAGGCGGUCUGUCGCGUCGGCUGUGAAAACUCGGGGCUCAACUCCGAGCUUGCAGUCGAUACGGGCAGGCUAGAGUUCGGCAGGGGAGACUGGAAUUCCUGGUGUAGCGGUGAAAUGCGCAGAUAUCAGGAGGAACACCGGUGGCGAAGGCGGGUCUCUGGGCCGAUACUGACGCUGAGGAGCGAAAGCGUGGGAGCGAACAGG